CCAAUAGCGUAUAUUAAAGUUGUUGCAGUUAAAAAGCUCGUAGUUGAAUUUUAGGCCUGGCCAGGCGGUCCGUCUUUGGCGAGUACUGUCUUGUUGUCGGGUCUUCCUUCUGGUGAACCAGUAUGUCCUUUAUUGGGUGUGUUUGGGAGCCAGGACCAUUACCUUGAAAAAAUUAGAGUGUUUAAAGCGGGCUAUUGCUUGAAUAGAUUAGCAUGGAAUAAUAGAAUAGGACGUUGUGGUUCUAUUUUGUUGGUUUCUAGGACCACCGUAAUGAUUAAUAGGGAUAGUUGGGGGCAUUAGUAUUCAAUUGUCAGAGGUGAAAUUCUUGGAUUUAUUGAAGACUAACUAUUGCGAAAGCAUUUGCCAAGGAUGUUUUCAUUAAUCAAGAACGAAAGUUAGGGGAUCGAAGACGAUCAGAUACCGUCGUAGUCUUAACCAUAAACUAUGCCGACUAGGAAUCGGGCGUCGUUAUUUUCACGACUCGCUCGGCGCCUUAUG
rnacentral:rRNA from 1 species